rnacentral:lncRNA from 1 species
UAUUUCUCCCCUUCAAGCAUAAUUGCCAGAAAUUAGAUUGUCAGCAUACUCCAAGUUCUUUGGGAGAAAGGUACAGAGAAUUCCCAAAGGGCUUUUGCAUGGGAGUUCUUUCUCUUGGCUUGUCUUGCCUUGCUGACGUGUUACUGUACUGCUGCCUCUCCUAUAGGCAACUCUUUAUAGAUUUCCACUGUUGGGUACAACAUUUCUUUACUUACAGUGAUUGCUGAAAUACACAGCAUGGCUUUAUGGAGAGGACACCACUUUUUCAUUGAUUAUUCUUUUGAAAAUAUGGUGUAGGCACAUUUUAAUUUCCCCAUGACAGGAAGAGCCCAGACAGUAACUUUAAAUAAGACUCAGGGAUGAUGAAGUAUAACACAGAGAAACUUUCAUCACCUAUUAAAAGUGGUCACAUUUACAACAACUUUUCUCUGCUGGGGAAGUACCCAUAUAGAUGUUGAUACUCUAAGAAAACUUUGCUACAGUCCCACAAUACACUUUACAAAGUUUGGAUUACUUAUUUUCAAUGAACGGCUGUAAGUAGCAGGCCAACACUAUGCAGGACCCACCAACAAUUCACUCCAGGUUGCAUUGCAUGGACCCUUGUCUAGUUCCCUUCCAGAGUCUGUGUGACCUUUCUGCAGUAUUUCUGUCUAAGCAUUGUACCUUGGAAAGACCUGCUCACAGAACACAUCCCACCCCUCAGUAGCGCCCUAUUAUUUAUGGAGAUAAAGCAGGCUAACUUUAGAGUUCAAAGAGAAAUAUUUCUUUAAAACAGGUUACAAACUGUUGGUUCAUGUACCAUAUCCACUCUGUAGACAUUUUAUUUAAUUCACAUCAUUUUUUUUUCAUUUUGUUUUUAAUGUUUAUUUAUUUUUGAGAGAAAGACAGAGACAGAGCAUGAGUCGGGGAGAAGCAGAGAGAGAGGGAGACCUAGAAUCCAAAAAAGGCUCCAGGCUCCGGGCUUUCAGCACAGAGCCUGACACAGGGCUCGAACUCAGGAACUGUGAGAUCAUGACCUGAGCCAGAAUCAGACACUUAGCCAACUGAGCCACCCAGGCGCCCCUAAUUCAUAUAGUGUUUUAUAAAAAUUUAAAUUACUUGCCAACAUUUAAACAAUUGGAUAUUUCAUAUAAAUAUCUAGAAUAUUAGCUUCUUUUGGGAAAUUAAAAUAUAUAACCCUAAGUUAUAUUCCUGCAGGGUCAUAAUCUGUUGAGGCAGAGUAUAAGGUGCCCCUUUAAUAUGAAUGUGAACUGUUGGGUUACUCCAGGCCCUACCUGGCCCACUUUACUCAUUUACUUAUCCACUGACCUCAGAAGCCAUUUGAGAUUCAACCCAUUGCUCCAAAAUCUGCAAUGGUAUAGAUACACUUAGAUACACCCCAUUUAUACUGCUAUAGAGAGCACUAUACUCUUUGAUCUGGAAUGGUAUGGUUUGGUUAUUUCAAAAUUACUACUUCUAGAUCUUCUCCAAAAAAUAAGGGCAGGCACUUGAUUUGUAUUUGCAUCUAACAACUUACAAUAAGGUUAUUCUCUCCUAAUGUGUAAUUUGCUCUGAAAUUAAAUUCCAGUCUCGUCGUCAAAGUUCCUGUUUAUGAAUUUUAAAUGGCAUUUUUCCAAUCAAUUUCCAAUUGAUUGUCCAAUCAAUUGUUAAUCAAAUUAACAAAUCCCAAGCUUCAGUCUUCAAUCAGGCAACAGUGUAACCCAUUAGAAGAUUAAACACAUAUUAACUUAAAAUGUGAUGGAAAAGACAGGCCUAUGUAUGCCAUAUUGUCAUUGAUCAGGACAAAUGGAAAUUGGAACAAACCAUAGAACAGCUUGUAUUGUGGUACAGAAAUGGGCUGACUUUAAACAAAGGAAACUGCUGAAACAGUACAAGGAGCAUCAGUUUAAUUCACUUUCAGCCUCAAAAAUAAGAUGUGGUUAUGUGUACUGAAACGAUGGGUCUACAUCAAGUUUGUAGACAUAGGUAUUGAUAUCCCCUCUCUCUUCUGGUUCUUUCGGGGCAGUCAGAAUUCAUUGAAAAAAAAUGAUGUAAGAACAUUAAAAUGUUCAUUCUUAACGAGGUUUCAUCAUUUAAAAUUUAGUCAUGUAUUUACUCACUCAGUUUCUCAUUCAUUCACGCAUUCAACAAAUAUCUAUUGAGCCUCUUGUCUGAGUUAGUUGUUAAGCCUACAAAGGGAAUCUUACCUCCAGGACUCUCAAUUUUUCCAUUUGGAAGACCUCCCAUACUAAAACCAUAAUGCUUCAAUAGAAUAAUUAUUUAAAGCUAGUGGAGGAGGUAGCCACACAGAGGAAAAACCUAAACCUGGACACUUAAGUUAUGGAACAUAGUAUUUACAGUGACAUUUGAAGCAUGGGUGUGAACUUUCCAGUCUGACAACAGUUUGGGAGUUGAGGGUGGUGGUGAGAGGGCUUCCAAGCAUAAGAAACUGGCAAAGCAAGGAAACCCCAAAAAGCUGGGCUGGCUCGAAGAAAUGCACUCAAGUUUGAAGUUCAACAUACCAAAAAAGUAUCGGAAAUGAGGUGAGACACGAGCUUGUUAAAAUGCUCAAUAAAGCUUAAAGUUGGGGUGAGGGAAGACUGUGUCAAUUACAGUCAAUCCCAUGCAGCUUUCCUUUUUUCACUAAGUUUGAUUUGCCUGCAAACAAAAAAAUUUCCAAAUAAAGGUCCUGCUAGACAGGCCGGUCUACUUUAAUGUAAGAUAGCAUCUAUUACUUUAUAAAAAAUUAAUUUGUUGCAUGUUAAAAAGAAUUGGCUUUCCUAAAUUGGUUAAGGAUGCCUUCUUGCUUAGAGAACCCUUCUUCAAAUGUAGGGUAAAGGUUGCAGGGCAAAAGUGUCAGUACAACCCAGGUCAAAUGAUUACCACUCCCAAACUAAUUGCAGCUGAGCUAAUGAGCUUAUACUAGCUUUGCAGUGGACUAGACAGGAAUUCAGAAGUAAGCUGAUAAUAGAGAAAAAUUGGAGUCCAGUUAGAAAAUUCUUGCAAAAGAGUUUAGAGCAGUGCUUUUCAAACUUUUGUGUGCAAAUGAAUUGCCUGAGAAUUUGUUAAUACUGCAGAUUUUGACACAGUAGGUUUAUGUUUGAGAUUAUGAACUUGUAACAAGCUCCCAGCCAAUGUUGAUGUUGUUGGUUCUUGGUCCAUACUCCCUGUAGGUAAGAAGGGUAGGAUGUUUCCUGAUCAGAAAUCCUUCUCUGUUCUAUAGACAGAGAAUUCUGUUCUAAGAGAAAUAAGAAUUCUUAAGGAAAAAAAAACCCUCCAAUAUAUCAGUGCCAUGUUUCCUGAUAGAAUCAUACUUCAUCAACUUAUAAUCAUCUUUCAUUUCUUAUAAUAAGAGAGAAGCAUACUUAAGUCUUUAGAAGUAAAUCACAGCAUUUUCCAAAUCAGCUUGUGGAUAUUUAAGUUUAUAUCUAAAGCCAAAUAAUUUGCACAUAUAGGGUGACCAAAGAGGACACUGUACUGUUUUUAGCACUGAAUGUCCCAUGGCCCCAAAACCUCUUAAUCUUGGCCAAACUGAGAUGGUUGGUCACCAUUCAGAAAGCACAUAUUGCAUUAUGAGAAUUGAUAUGGUCUGUUCAAAGUGUCACCUUAUUAUCUAUAAAAACAUCAUUUAAAAAAUUAAAAUGCCUUAUUUGGAAAUAAUUUAUUUUUUCAAUUUCGAGGAUGAAAGAAAAUUAAUCUCUUUUAUGACAGUGUGACCUAAAACUUACUUGCUGAGAUAAGCUAUUAACUCUGUGACUUUUCUUGCUCCUUCAGUUCUUAAAAAUUUGGGCUAAAGAGACAAUAUUGAAUUUAGCACAGAAAGUGGACUCUAUUUUUGACUCUUUAAUCUAUUUAUCUUUGCUUUAUUUUGUCUACCUCCUGAGCUUCCCACAUUGUUUUCUGAUAUAUUAUUAUAAUUAUUCAAAAUAUUAAUGGAACAGAAUAUCUUCUUUUAAGUUAUGAAUGCAAUCAAUUUUGAGUCUUUAAUUGUAAUUUUUUUUCCAUAAAAUUCUUUUAAUUUAGCCUAAUAUAAUGGCACAUCAACCAGUAAUAGGUACAUUAAAUUGAAUCAUGAUGCUCAUAUACACAUUUUAUGACACAAUCAAAUAUCCUAAUGCAUUAAUUCAUAUCAAUCAGUUAAUAAAAUCAAAUAGGAAACAUUUCUCUUUUGCUGCUAACUGUACUUAUUUCAUUUACUAGACGAGAAGUCUAAAAGAUCUCAACAACUUGACUCCCAGGACUUUCCUGCUUAGAUGUCUGGGAUUUGACUAUUACUCUAGGUUUUACCAAGUUGAUUGGUUCACAGAUAAACUAAGAACACGCCUAAAAUUCCACAUGAUUCUUUAGAGUUUCUUGAAGUGAAACCGUUCUUGCCAAAUUAGUAACACAUGAAAUGAUUCCAAUAUUGUGCCCAAUCUGAUGGAAAAAGUGAUAAUGACUCCCCAGAGGUACCUUAAAUCUUGUCUAUUACAAGUCAUUACUUAGAGUGCACUAAGAGGUAACCCAGAACACUGAAAAAGUUAAAAGUGAAUGGUCAAAAGCAAAUUAUUUGAUCAUUUAACCCAGUAAAUAUUUUAGGGGUUACUAUUUUUAACCUGGAACCAUAGUAGAUAUUGUUAGCGAUGCUAGCAUAUACAAUAUAUAUUACCUUACUUCAAAGAGUCAAAAAAUACUUAGAAGGCACAACUAAUAUACCUGAAAUAAUUAAAAGACAAUUAAGUACUCACCUACAAAGUGCUAUAAGCUCAGUAGGAUUUUACAUUCAAUGUGUGGUGGUUUUUCUCCCUACUUUUUUUUUUUUUAGCCUAGUGUGUGUUCAGUGCUAAGCUAAGUACAUUACAUUCUGCUUUGGUCAGAGACCUGGUUCAACCUAGCUUAAGGCAAGAAAGGAAUUUGUUGGAAGUAAACCAAAGUGUAUAGUGAUUUUGAAGGAAUAGUUGACUAAAUAUACUUCAGGAAGACCAAGGAUUCAGUUGGUUUUCAAGAACAAAAAAAGCGGGGACCCGAAUGCCAUCAAGAUCUCUCUGUCUUCUCUGUGUGCCAGCUCUGUUUUGUCCUUCUGCAGACCAACUUCUUCCAUAUGGUGGGGAACAUGGCCUCUGACAGAUAUUAGCUUCACAUUUCAUGGGUACCACACCAGAUGCUACUGUCUUUUCCUAUUUGAAUGCAAAACAUUACAAAAAAGAACUCAAACUGCCUAGCAGGGCAGAUAGCUCCCACACUCAGACUAAUAAAAUAUGGUUAAGUUACCUGAGUCAUAUAUGGGUGAUGCUACCCAGCAGAAUUACAAUAGGGAGUGGAAGGAGAACAGUUCUCAUACAAAAGGGAAGACUGUUCCCAAAGAAGGAAAAGGUCUGGAUAGUUAUAACAUAGAAAUCUACCACCCACACAAUUCUAACAUAAAACAUAAAGCCCCUUAAAAGUAAAAUAUUUUUACUUUAUUACAAAGUUAUUAUUUCCAUUUGAUACAUUGGAAAAGUAGUUUUGCUCUUUCAUCUACACAUUAUGGUUAUACUUUAUAAUAAGGUACAUAUCUGUUAAUGUUAUUAGUUUAGCUUUAUCUUUGAUGCUACUGGGGUUAUAGCACCCCUGUGCCCCCAGAUGGCCAACUUGUGAUGUCAACUGAAUAACAUUUAUAGACCCUUGCCUCACCUGAAUUCCCAAACCUACCCACAUCUUCCAUUUGGUCUUUACUCUAGAUUUUGACUUCCAUAUCUCCCCCAGAUGUCAUACUAAACACAUGUACCUGUUCUAUAUAAAAUGUUCCUCUCCCCCAAAUUGUCAUCUCAGGUUGGGUCCCUGACAUGUAGCUGUGCAGGCUGUCAACUGCCCAACUCCUGGUAGUGCCAUUCUCCCAAUGAAUGAAGCCUCCUGGAAUUGUGUAAUGCAGAGGCCCUAUUUAAGAUCUGUACAUCAUUCUAACCAUUUCUGCUUGGUCCAACUUCUGGUAUUGUCCUUUCUAGCCUACUCCAUUCUCUAGUUUCAUCCCCUUCAUUCUGCAGGCUACCUACUCCCAAAGGUGAGUUUUUUCUAGUCCUUCUCAGAAUUUCUUAUACCACGAAGUAAAUUAUUAGAUAUAAAGACAAAAAGGAUUUCUUGUCCAGUAUACAGUGAAGUCAGAAAGCCAAAAUGGUAGCCUCUAAUACAACCUUCCCAAUUAUUCAAAUGCACCAUCUAAUUGCAGCCACCUGGUUAACCUGGCAUCUCUUCCGUGUCUUUGGACAACCAUGGCUCAGCUGUGUAGACCAUGUGUUAUCACUCAGGGCUUCCCAUAAAUUCUAUCCCUAAGCUCCAGCUAAGGGACUAGUGAAUUAUUGUGUGUGUGGAAGAGCCUAGCCUAUACACAUUAAUGACUGUAAUGACAUUUAGAAAUGGGUCAUUUUUCCCUUUCUCAAUAAAGAUAGGCUUUGUGGAUUUAAAUCACUAAUGCUCGUUGGGUUUUUUUUUUUUCCCCUCAGCAUUAUGUUACCAUAAAAAUAUUGAAGUGUAACAAAUGGUUUGCUUAUCUAUCAUUACUAAUGAAAUAGUUGGAAACAGCUUAGAAACAGUUUUCUGCUUUUUAUUUAGCUGAAAAAAAUACCAGUUUCUAUGGCUUCCUUUUUAUGCAGAUGAAGAUGCUACUCUCUUUGCAGACAUUAUUAUGGAGGGAUAUCAUUGAUCAUGUCCUCAGGGUAAUAAAUAAUUACUCUACUAACGUAUUGCUCUGAAAGAAACUGACAUGAAGUAGUUUCAAAUUAACCACUGCUAAUUGCAUGCAUUGUUUCAUACUUAUUACUGCAAUCUGAUUAACAUGCUACUGAAUAGAACUGGCAGGAAAGGUUCUUUCUCCUUUAUUCUGACUUGUUUUAGUUAAAAACUUGACUAAAUGUAGAAUUUACAUUGACUUAGAAGUUGAGAUAUCUAGUGCUGAGAUAAAAAAGAUCACUGUGAUAUAAUGAGCUUGACCACUGCCAGAAUUUUUUUUUCUUGUCAUGAGUUUAUAUUUGGAAAAUGGGAGAUUUUUAGAUUCCUAAUAGAAAAAAAGUACCCUUUAUUAUAUUUGUAAUAUAUUCUAGAUUUAAAAGCUAUGAAUUUCUGAAUCAUGAAGUUCAAUAAUAUGUUAAAAAUAAAAAAGAAAUUCCAAUUCACAAUUUAAAAGAGUUUCUUUGUAGGAAUAAAAAAAUAAAUUUUGGUUUUGUUACUAAAUUUUCAAUAAAACUCAAAAUAACUAUAAAAGAACUUUAAAAAGUUACUGUAUGUUUGUUAUUAUAAUUAUUAUUCCCAUUUAUCUUCCCAAAUUGUUGGGAUAAUAUAAAAGUGCAAAUAAAGUUAUGUUUAUAAAUGUGAAGUUAAUCAGUUAUCCCAAUGAGCAUUUUUAUCAUGGCUAUCCUGUUGCUCUGUCCUAAGUUCAAAGGCAAGUUAUAUACUGAUAAUGAUGUUUUUCUUUUUUUAUUUUAAAUUUUUUUUUUUUUCAACGUUUAUUUAUUUUUGGGACAGAGAGAGACAGAGCAUGAACGGGGGAGGGGCAGAGAGAGAGGNNNNNNNNNNNNNNNNNNNNNNNNNNNNNNNNNNNNNNNNNNNNNNNNNNNNNNNNNNNNNNNNNNNNNNNNNNNNNNNNNNNNNNNNNNNNNNNNNNNNNNNNNNNGCUGCGCCCCCCAGGCGCCCCUUUUUUUUUUUUUUUUUAAAUUUUUUUUUUUUUUUUGAUAAUGAUGUUUUUCAAUAAAAGUUCCCAAACUGCAUUUUAUGCACCUUUAUUUUACAAACAUUUAAAUAGUAUUCUCAAUGCACCAUAUACAAAUAUUAUUCUGUGUACUUUACAAUUACUAAUUUAAUUGUAAAAAUGACUCCAUGGAAUAGGUACUANNNNNNNNNNNNNNNNNNNNNNNNNNNNNNNNNNNNNNNNNNNNNNNNNNNNNNNNNNNNNNNNNNNNNNNNNNNNNNNNNNNNNNNNNNNNNNNNNNNNNNNNNNCCUGAUGCGGGGCUCAACCUCACAAACCAUAAGAUCAUGACCUGAGCCAAAGUCGGAUGCUUAACCGACUGAGCCACCCAGGCACCCCUAAUACCCCUAUUUUAAAAAAUCAGGUGGGGCGCCUGGGUGGCGCAGUCGGUUAAGCGUCCGACUUCAGCCAGGUCACGAUCUCGCGGUCCGUGAGUUCGAGCCCCGCGUCAGGCUCUGGGCUGAUGGCUCAGAGCCUGGAGCCUGUUUCCGAUUCUGUGUCUGCCUCUCUCUCUGCCCCUCCCCCGUUCAUGCUCUGUCUCUCUCUGUCCCAAAAAUAAAUAAACGUUGAAAAAAAAAAAAUUAAAAAAAAAAAAAAUCAGGAAACUAAGACCCAAAAUGGAUGUUACUUUAUCAAGAUUAGAGAGUUAAAAUAUGUCAUAACUAGGAUUUACCUCUAAGGAGUCUGGCUCCAGAAGCCAUGUACUUUACUGAUACGCUAUGCUGCUUUAGCAUAUGGCUCCAGAACAGUUGAACACCAUGUCAAUGGAUAAGGUACAAUGUAUUUUUGUGCAGGAUGGCAUUGAAACUGAUACUCAGGUUAUCAUAUUCCAAAAUGUUGACUUGAGCUCUGAUUUAUAACUGAUACUGUUGCCCAUUUGUAGGUAGCUGAUUACCUAUGGACUUCUGGCCUUUCUCUGAGUCCUUGUGCCUAUCCUCUCUUCUAUGGCCCAUUUACUCAGCACCCUCAAUCCUAGAAGUGUAUCUAUAAUCAGUGGUAUGCUGUAGCCCCUCAUACUAACUUGGAUUGUGCACACUUUUUCCCAGCUGUCAGUUUAAUGGCUUCAUGCUGGUAACUUGAAAUCAGCUGUGGUAGAAAUAUUUCCACCCUGGAAAGCAAAUUCUCCCACGUUCCUUGCCCCACCACUUGGAAAUAUGGUUUAUUUUUACCACACUGCUGGCAAUCUACUACCAUUAUGUCCCAUUAUGAACAUAUCCCCCAAAUACUGAGGAUUUUAUACAUCUCUACUUCAUGCUCCCAUAUUGCAUUAUGAGGUCAACAUCAAUGAGAAUGAACCCAUCAUGGACCCCAAAGAAGAACCCAAAAUAACAAAAUCUCACCAGUGGGACUGUCAGGGAGUCCUUUUAUAAAAGGGAGGGAACCAUAUGACACACAUGCUCUCUCUUACUGUUCCACAUUUAUUGCAGACAUUACUAAUUGAUCAUGACAUGACGGACACUUCUCAACCUAAUACUUUAGAAUCUAGACAGCCACUGACAACCACUGAGAUUCAGCAAAAGAGAUGAAAUUAUUUACCACCCUUUUUAGAAUUAAAAAUUCUUAUUCCUCCCUAUAUUUUCACUCAGUAUAAUUUAUAACUCUUCUCUAAGUUAUAGAAAUAUUUUUAAAAUGAUGACUACAAAGGAAAACUUAAGUUGUUCUGAAAAUUUAAAUAUUUGCCACCAGAAAUCUAGCUGCUAUCCUUGCUGAUAUAAUCAAUUGAGUAUUGAUUGCACUACAAAGUAUUUUGACAUUUAUAAUUUUACUAAAGACUUCAUAUUCAUGGAUUGAUAUUUACCCAUGAUUAAUCAUAUAUAUAUAUAUAUAUAUAUAUAUGUCACAUAUAUAGGCCUCAUUAUAUAUGUAUGUAUACCAUAUAUAAUAUUGUAUAUGUAACAUACAUAUAUAAGUGACUGUCGGUACAGUACAGUAUAUAUAUAUAUAUAUAUAUAUAUAUAUACACACACACACACACACACACACAUAUAUAUACACAUAUAUAUAUAUACACAUAUAUAUAUAUAUAUCAUAUAUACAUAUAUAAUGUUGAUUACACAUACAUUUCCAUUGACUACCAGGGACUAUAUAAUCCCUGGUAGUCAAUGGAAAUGUAUGUGUUAUUUUUUAACUUAAAUCAACCCAAUCUUAACAUUCUUCAUCUUGAUCAAAGAACUUUAUCUUGGGGCCCCUGGGUGGCUCAGUCGGUUAAGCAUCCAACUCUAGGUUUCAGCUCAGGUUAUGAUAUCAUGGCUUCGUGAGUUUGAACCGCACAUUGGGCUCUGUGUUGGCAGUAUGAAGCCUGCUUGGGAUUCUCUCUCCCCACCUCCCCCGUCCCUCCCCAACUUGUGCUGUCUCUUUCUCAAAAUAAAUAAAUGAACUUAAAAAAGAAUUUUAUCUUGCUGCCGAUCUCAAAAUUUUACAUUAAAACAUUUUAUGAAGAUAGAAUCUCCAAAAAAUGUUUAAGUAUUUUCUCCUCAUUCUCCUCUUUUCCAUCCCAAGAUCAAAUCUUUAGAGACAACCCCUUAACCACCCCUUUAAAUUAUUUUUAAAAAGGAAAUGGCAGGGAUAUAUGAUACAUUGUUUCUAGGUAGAUGAUUUCUAGACUUUGAGUAGUUUUGAGGUGAGGAAGGUCAUUUACCUGUCAGUACAGUGAAAACCAUUGGUAAGUGAUGAGAUGUGCUGCCUAUAUCCAAUAUGAAUAGACUUACCUAAUAUCUACACAUACAGUAAAGAGUAGUAAUGAUCUCCAAAGAUUACUAUCCAGCUAUCUGAAAAUGGCAUAUGCAUUUGCCACAUAUUCUGAAACAAUGUGAGAGUUACAAAGAAUGCGGUUUACAACAUUAACUGUUCAAGGAAUGCAGAGAAAGUCCAAGGUAAGUGGAGAAAGUCUUCAGAAUCAAGGUCCUAAAGUGUGAGCAAGAACGAGAUGCGUGAGAAGUGAGAAUAAAGGGAAUAUUGAGAGGGAUAGCUUGAGCAAAGGCUCAGAAGAGGGGCUAGAUAUGCCUUAUUGAGCAGACCAGUGUGUAUCAGAAUACAGGCAUCUACAGUGGGGGGUCAUGGUCAUGGAGAGUGGGUGACAUUUGAAUGUCAAACGCAGGGGUUUGUUCAGAAUGAUGUGUUGUGAUGGGAGUCAUUUCAGUCUAUGGAGCCAUUGUAUUUUCACCUCAUGUUUUGUAGGCAGAGGUAUAAUAAUCAGGACAUGAACCCUUGCUAUGUGAGGGUAAGCUUCUUAUCUAAAGUUAUGGGAGCUGUGGAACAAGCACAGGACUUUGGAAUUAGAAAGACCUGGGUUUGAAUUCUGGGACUGCCACUUACUAACUAAUGAUUCUUGUAUGUGACUUAGCUCUCUGAACUGUAGUUUCUCCAUGCGGAUAAUAUAGCAUAGCUGCUGAGGUUGGGGAGCGGAGGUGGUUAUAAUUAAACAUGUUUCUUUCUUCUACUCUAAUUUUACAACCAAUUGAGAGAGUAACACAGGAUUUAGAGAAGAGAUCAAAAUAUCAGCUUCACUGCCAGUAGCUUUGGAUCACCAAGUAAGGUUCAGAGCUGUGGCAUAGUCAAGCUUCCUAAUCCUGAACCGAAGUGGUGAUGUAUUCAAUAGUUACUAUAUGAGAGCUGACUGACUUCUUUCAUGCGUAUAUGCGAGACAGACAUCUGGAAAUGACCAGAAAUAUUUAGGUUUCAAGAUGAGGCAUUUCAAAGCUUCAACUUUGCCAAUAGUAAAUGGGAGAGAGGGCAAGAGGCAGCCUUUUGCUAUCAAAAUGGUCCCAUGUUAAACUCCAUGAUGGAGGGGCUGAUGGAAACAUGGGAUACCAAAAGAAGCAAGCAAAAUGAUCACAGAAGUAAAUAACCUAGUGGAGGCAUAAAGGAGGGAGGAUAAAUCAGUUCUAUCCUGAAUCAUGAGGGUUGGAAAGGUUUUACAUGCCUGGUGGUUCAAGAAGUAAAGAAGAACACAGGCACUUUCCCUUCUAUCUCUUUUAAGAGCAUCUAAAUGAAUUCUUGGAUUUGGCUGCUGAGCAAAUAUCUGAGUAAUAACCUAGGAUCAGCUGGAUACAAGUGGGUUCCACCAGCAGUCCAUGCAAACUAAUGUUUUUAAGCUUCUGUUGGGCCACUGCAACAAAAAAUCAUCAAGAUGUUUACACAGUUGAUUCUGUUGGCGGCCCAGCUAGUUUUUAACUAUAUCAUGAAAACUGGCCUGGGGGUACAACCUGAGAUUAUUCCAGCCCUACUUUCACACAGCCAGAAAUUCCCUUUCUGUUACAAAUUUCUGCCCCAGUGGGGUUUUCAUAGUUUUGGCAUUUUCAUUAUGGAUCAGUGAGUCAGCUAGCCCACAGGCCAAGGAGAGGGGAGGAAAAAGCCUCCCAAAUGAAAGUCAACCCAGUUAGGAUGUCUUCAUCAAUUUUUCAGUGGGAGAAAGAUACAGCUGGGUUCAGUGACUUCUAUCAAAAGCAAACAUCACUAGUUGGGAUUUUUUUUUUUUUUUUGUACUCUCAAGUUUUGGAGGGCAUAAUAAAGACCCAGCCUCAACAGCAUCACUUAGAAGAUUUAGUUAGUUAUUUUGCAAAGCUUGGGUAGUGACACUUCUGCAAAAUGCACAAGCACAUGAGCAAACAUAGAGAUGUGUGAAUUCAGGAAAGCAGCCAAAUGCACAUCAGAGCUGAGGAAUGUCACAGUGAAAUGAAGGAAACUUGUAAACACCUAUCAGUAUUUUUAGGUAGAGAAUGUUCUAACAUAUUGCCGGUGGGUGUUGCCUAUGCAUUCAUUUCCCUGAGCUUUAAAAUCAACUGAUAUUAAAGGUGAUUUGAAAAC